rnacentral:rRNA from 1 species
UACGAACCGUACAAACGUUAUUCGGAAUCACUGGGCUUAAAGGGCGCGUAGGCGGACGACCAAGUCAGGGGUGAAAGCCCCCAGCUCAACUGGGGAAGUGCCUUUGAUACUGGUCGUCUCGAGGGAGGUAGGGGCGUGCGGAACUUCCGGUGGAGCGGUGAAAUGCGUAGAUAUCUGGAGGAACACCGGUGGCGAAGGCGGCUUUCUGGUCUGCUCUUGACGCUGAGGCGCGAAAGCUAGGGUAGCAAACGGG